rnacentral:rRNA from 1 species
UACGUAGGGGGCUAGCGUUGUCCGGAAUCAUUGGGCGUAAAGAGCGUGUAGGCGGUCCGGUAAGUCCGCUCUGAAAGCCCGGGGCUCAACCCCGGGAGGCGGGCGGAUACUGUCGGGCUAGAGUCCGGAAGAGGCGAGUGGAAUUCCUGGUGUAGCGGUGAAAUGCGCAGAUAUCAGGAGGAACACCAAUAGCGAAGGCAGCUCGCUGGGACGGCACUGACGCUGAGACGCGAAAGCGUGGGGAGCAAACAGG